UACGAAGGGGGGCUAGCGUUGUUCGGAAUUACUGGGCGUAAAGCGCGCGCAGGCGGUCUUCCAAGUCAGUGGUGAAAGCCCGGAGCUCAACUCCGGAACUGCCAUUGAAACUGUUAGACUUGAGGAUGAGAGAGGUGAGUGGAAUUCCCAGUGUAGAGGUGAAAUUUCGUAGAUAUUGGGAAGAACACCGGUGGCGAAGGCGGCUCACUGGCUCAUUACUGACGCUCGAGGCGCGAUAGCGUGGGGAUCAAACAGG
rnacentral:rRNA from 1 species